rnacentral:rRNA from 1 species
CCUACGGGGUGCAGCAGUAGGGAAUCUUGCACAAUGGGCGAAAGCCUGAUGCAGCAACGCCGCGUGCGGGAAGAAGGCCCUAGGGUUGUAAACCGCUUUCAGCAGGGAAGAAAAUGACGGUACCUGUAGAAGAAGGUGCGGCCAACUACGUGCCAGCAGCCGCGGUGACACGUAGGCACCAAGCGUUGUCCGGAUUUAUUGGGCGUAAAGAGCUCGUAGGCGGUCCAGUGAGUCGGGUGUGAAAACUCAGGGCUUAACCCUGAGACGCCACCCGAUACUGCUGUGACUAGAGUGUGGUAGGGGAGCGGGGAAUUCCUGGUGUAGCGGUGAAAUGCGCAGAUAUCAGGAGGAACACCAGUGGCGAAGGUGCCGCUCUGGGCCAUUACUGACGCUGAGGAGCGAAAGCGUGGGUAGCAAACAGGAUUAGAUACCCGCGUAGUC